rnacentral:rRNA from 1 species
UAACCUUGCGGCCGUACUCCCCAGGCGGUCAACUUCACGCGUUAGCUGCGGUACUAAAGAAGUCUCCUUCCCCAACACCUAGUUGACAUCGUUUAGGGCGUGGACUACCAGGGUAUCUAAUCCUGUUUGCUCCCCACGCUUUCGUGCAUGAGCGUCAGUAUCGACCCAGGGGGCUGCCUUCGCCAUCGGUAUUCCUCCACAUAUCUACGCAUUUCACUGCUACACGUGGAAUUCUACCCCCCUCUGCCGUACUCUAGCCUUGCAGUCACAAAUGCAGUUCCCAGGUUAAGCCCGGGGAUUUCACACCUGUCUUACAAAACCGCCUGCGCACGCUUUACGCCCAGUAAUUCCGAUUAACGCUCGCACCCUACGUAUUACCGCGGCUGCUGGCACGUAGUUAGCCGGUGCUUCUUCUGACGGUACCGUCAUUAACCACAGUUAUUAACCAUGAUCGUUUCUUCCCAUCUGAAAGAGCUUUACAACCCGAAGGCCUUCUUCACUCACGCGGCAUGGCUGGAUCAGGGUUGCCCCCAUUGUCCAAAAUUCCCCA